UACGGGGGGGGCAAGCGUUGUUCGGAAUUACUGGGCGUAAAGGGCUCGUAGGCGGCCAACUAAGUCAGACGUGAAAUCCCUCGGCUUAACCGGGGAACUGCGUCUGAUACUGGAUGGCUUGAGGUUGGGAGAGGGAUGCGGAAUUCCAGGUGUAGCGGUGAAAUGCGUAGAUAUCGGGAGGAACACCAGUGGCGAAGGCGACUUCCUGGCCUGUUCUUGACGCUGAGGCGCGAAAGCUAGGGGAGCAAACGGG
rnacentral:rRNA from 1 species